UCCUGUUUAAAUAAAGGUACUUUAUUUGGACAUAAGUCCAUCUAGACAAAGAAAUAUGGUCCAAAGUACACAAGCAUAAGUGGCAUGUGCAUGCGGCAAAAGGUCUUGAAGGUGGCACUGGCCAGGCUGAAGUCUGGGCACUGGGCCCUGAUGCUGCUGACUUGCUAGGGUGCAUGGAGUCACGGGGCUUAGCAGCAGAGAGGCCACGCUUACCUGAGCACCCAGCUGGGCACCAGCCUCGGCUGCGUUGAGCAACAGGACUGACACCUGAUCCGGCCUUCCCUGUGGGACACAUGGAAAGAAGUAUGACGGGGUUGAAAUUACAGACGGCAGACAUGAAAGCGGAGGGCAAGGAAUGACAUCCCCGCCAUGUAUCGACGCCAACCCCAAAACCUCCAGGCCCCGGAAAAUACACCCAUCCCGUAAAUCCAGAGGACUCCUUUGGAAUUACUGGCCGGGAGGUGGAGUUUCUCGUUGUUCUGUGUCUCGUGGAAGUGAUGGUAAAAAAAAGAAAGUCUCCUGUUUCAACGGGGUCUCAGAACCUAAGGCCCUGCUCUUCCAGGGCUGGUGGCGAUGCUCUCGCAGUCCCCAGGGUUGGGAGGUGCUGUGUGCACGGUCUCGUUCAUCUCUCAGUCAACACCUGUCCACUGAGGGCCCAAAUGUUGCUGGGGCUGGAUUUCUCUUCCCGGGCGCAGGGGCAUCUACGCGAUCUUGCAGGUCAUCUUGAUCAGCGGGUGUCCGAUGCCCGAACACGACAGGGUGGUGGAAUCAGCAGCGGCAUCUUGGAUGAAGCGAGUCCUCCCAAGACCACGGAGUGUCCCUGGAUGUGCGUAUGUGCGUGGAAGUGUCAUGUCAGAUGGACGGCCAAGGAGGAGUGUAUCCAGCACCCUUAGUUCCAGGUGAAGAGCUCCCAGGGCCUUCAUCACGUUGCCGGGCUAACCCCAGCCCCGGCUGCCGGGAGGACACACGGCAAGGUCGGAGUCGGCUGCAGCAGGUUUGAAAAUCCAUCAGUUGCCUGCUGAUUACCUGGUGCCUGAGGGGGCGGGGGAGAUGCUUCACGGGCACGUCGGCUCUGAUCCACAGCCCAUCGGUAAGGCUGAUUUUUAUCGUCCCUGGCUCACAGGUGAGGAUGCGGGGUUGAAUGACAUGCUCAGUGAGGUGGAGCUGGGGAGACGCAGAGCCCGGGUCUUGGCCCUGCCAGGCCAGUGAGCUCUGUGCCCAGCCCCAGCCGGGCAAGGCUAGAGGGACAGGUUAUGCCUCACCACUACCCCAGGUGUUUCGAUAGCAAGCCUGACACGCUUUCCAUCCAUGGGGAGCCCACCUGGUGAACACCACCCCCCUCUAAGCGAGGCUUCCCCACCCCAGCACUGCAGGGCGCUUUGGCCCAGCCCCUCCUUUGUGGUGGGGCCAUCCUGUGCACGGUAGGCGGUCAGCAGCUACCCUGGCCUCUCCGCACCCACUGGAAGCCAAAAGCAUGUCUCCCUCCCUGGCAAUUGUCUCCAGGCAUUGCCAAAUGUCCCCCGGGGCAGGGGGUGGAAGGCAAAACUGCCCCUAGUUGAGAAUUCCUGACUUAAAACAAUAAUUCGAUGUAG